GCUGGGGAGUACGACCGCAAGGUUGAAACUCAAAGGAAUUGACGGGGGCCCGCACAAGCGGUGGAGCAUGUGGUUUAAUUCGAAGCAACGCGAAGAACCUUACCAGGUCUUGACAUCCUUUGACCACUCUAGAGAUAGAGCUUUCCCUUCGGGGACAAAGUGACAGGUGGUGCAUGGUUGUCGUCAGCUCGUGUCGUGAGAUGUUGGGUUAAGUCCCGCAACGAGCGCAACCCUUAUUGUUAGUUGCCAUCAUUUAGUUGGGCACUCUAGCGAGACUGCCGGUGACAAACCGGAGGAAGGUGGGGAUGACGUCAAAUCAUCAUGCCCCUUAUGACCUGGGCUACACACGUGCUACAAUGGGAAGUACAACGAGUCGCUAGGCCGCGAGGUCAUGCAAAUCUCUUAAAGCUUCUCUCAGUUCGGAUUGUAGGCUGCAACUCGCCUACAUGAAGCCGGAAUCGCUAGUAAUCGCGGAUCAGCACGCCGCGGUGAAUACGUUCCCGGGCCUUGUACACAUCGCCCGUCACACCACGAAAGUUUGUAACACCCGAAGUCGGUGAGGUAACCUUUUGGAGCCAGCCGCCUAAGGUGGGAUAGAUGAUUGGGGUGAAGUCGUAACAAGGUAACCA
rnacentral:rRNA from 1 species